rnacentral:rRNA from 1 species
UACAGAGGGUGCAAGCGUUAAUCGGAGUUACUGGGCGUAAAGGGCGCGUAGGCGGUUAUUUAAGUUUGAUGUGAAAUCCCUGGGCUUAACCUAGGAACUGCAUUGAAAACUGGGUAACUGGAGUACUGUAGAGGGUAGUGGAAUCUCCGGUGUAGCGGUGAAAUGCGUAGAGAUCGGAAGGAACACCAGUGGCGAAGGCGGCUACCUGGACAGAUACUGACGCUGAGGCGCGAGAGCGUGGGGAGCAAACAGG